rnacentral:lncRNA from 1 species
CUCAUGGUCAACGAACUUCCUUUCAAAAUGAGAAAAAAAAGUGAAAACAUGUUGUUUUGUGGACUGUGGUAUAGUGAUACACAACCAUUGAUGUCAACCAAUAUGUGUGAUUUUUUUCCAAAUUCCUGUCCACUACAAAAUGUAUGUCUUUCAAGAUUCCUAAUUCAAAAACCGGUUUUUCGACUUCUUAAAGCGAAGGUAUUAGAGGGG